CCGUGCACGAACCUUCCGGCAAGGCUAACGACUCUUUCCUGACGAACGUACACCCGUGCUUAAUUAGGUUCGAUCCGAGCCGUGACCCGGAAGCAACCUAAAACUUUUAGAGAAGAUACACACACAAUCUAAACAGGAACAGGUUUCUAUUUAACUAAACAGUGAACGAUCUGAACUUUCGCGGCUGCACGAGUGAACUUCCCUCUGCUGCGGAUGUGAACUUCCUCUCUGUCUGUACGCGGAACGCACUUAAACCCCGCGGGGCGUUUUUCUUUGUUUUUUUUUUCUAAUCCCUACGCGCCCCGACAACUGCGUCUCCGCAAAACCCCUCAAUCUCCCCCCGAACUCGCUCUCUCCAUCUCCGCUCUCGUGACAACCGUCAAAACCGCGCCCCGAUUUCUGGCAGUUCAUCGGCAAACCUCUCGGGAGUGGUGGCGAUAAGCGAGGCACGGCGGUUGCGCACCCGUUUCCUCUAAAAUCUGCAGCCCCGACACCCCCUCACGCCACUUGGAGCGCUCCGCGAACUCCGUCGUGUCCAGCGCCGAGCGCCGCCGUCUGUUCGUGGAUUUAGGGUUCAAGAGCUUUUUCUACUGGUAUGUAUCACAAUUUCGUCGGUCUGGUCUUCACGCCCCUUGCUCUGUCCUCUCCGAUUUUGACCUAUGCAUCCACAUGCUCUGAUUCCAGGUUUUUCACCCAAAUUGGCGUCAAUGGAUAGUGGUUCUCCGGACUUAUUCGAUGAUAUGCUCCCUCUCGCACCCCUCCCCUGCCCACCUCUUAUUGUGAAUGCGCGCGAUUUUUAGGUUGUGCUUGUUUUUUUGGUUGCUUAUUUUCUUAUGAUUUUAGGGUUUGCAAUGUCACCACAUUGCUGUAAAUAGAUGUUUGAUAUUUAUUUUUUGUUUGAGUGCUUAAUGUUGUAGAUUUGUACCAAGUGUUGCUUGCAUUAGACUCAGGCAGGUGUGUAUGAUUUACUGAUACGUUUACUCGCAUGUGAACUUCCUGUGUGCUAAAUGUGAACCUCCAUCUGUAUUUUGUUGGUUCUGAAGCUUUAGCUGUUGUGCUGAUAUGCGAACUUCCAUAUGUGUCAACUAUGAACUUCCUGUUACUGAAAUGUGAACUUCCUGCUGUCCAUGUUGUCCUGUGAACUUCAUAUAGGCAUUUAUAAAGUUGGGUUGCAAUUUUACUUACUUGUGAUCUGUUUUAAGAAUUAAGUGUGAACCUCCUACUGGCUAUGUUGCUUUGUGAACUUCAGAUGUGUUAGAUGUGCUCCUUAUGCUGCUAACUUUACAUGAUGUAUAUGUUGUAUGAGUGAAGCUCUAGCAUCUGCAAUGGCUUGUUUUUUAAUUUACCCCAUGUGCUGAUAUGUGAACUUUCAUAAGGAUUAGAUGUGAACUUCUCUGUUACUGAAAUGUGAACUUCCUGCUGUCCAUGUUGUCAUGUGAACUUCAUAUACGCAUUUAUAAAGCUGGGUUGCAAUUUUAAUUGCUUGUGAACUGCUUUAAGGAUUAAGUGUGAACCUCCUGUUGGCUAUGUCGCUUUGUGAAUUUCAGAUGUGUUAGAUGUGCUGCUUAUGCUCUUAACUUCACAUGUUGUAUAUGUUGUAUGAGUGAAGCUCUGGCAUCUGCAAUGGCUUGUUUUUUAAUUGACCCCAUGUGAUGAUAUAUGAACUUUCAUAAGGAUUAGAUGUGAACUUCUCUGUUUGCUGUAAGGUGAACUUCCUGUUGUCUAUGUUGUCAUGUGAACUGUCUCCUGAUGACUGGCCAAGCAUACUCAGAGAUCUUGUGCUGCUGCUAGAUAUUGCGUCGCAGUCGCAGUCUACCGCUGGUGCCACUUGAGAUUCUUCUCAAGCGUGUGGUCUUCAAAACUAGGAAAUUUGAAUUUUGUCGGCGCCUUCGUGUAUGCAAUGUAUCUACCCAUGUGUUUGUGAAGUGACACUUGUAUUUUCUGUGCAUUUUUUUAUGUUCCUGUUGUGAAUCAUCCCAAACACGCUGCCAAUUUAAGCUUUUGUACAUGGUGUCAGCAAAACUGAUGUGUAUUGUGUGUCUUGUAUAUCUGGACCUCUGUGUUUAUAAAAUAGAACUUCCAAGGCAGUAAAUAGUGAACUUUCAUAUGCAUCCCUGUUUUGUUGCUACAUUUUUUUUGCCUCAAGGUCAUGUGUGUAUCUGGACCUCUGCAUUCAUAAAAGAUAACUUUCACGGCAGUAAAAAGUGUGUAUCUGGACCUCGAUUCCAUAUGCAUCCCUGUGUUCACUUGUGUUUUCUGUGUGUGUAUCUGGACCUCGAUUCCAUUCGCGUGUGUGUAUCAUAACUUCCUCAGUAUGUACAU
rnacentral:lncRNA from 1 species